UACGUAGGUGGCAAGCGUUGUCCGGAAUUACUGGGCGUAAAGAGCGCGCAGGCGGUCGAUCAAGUCGAGUGUGAAAGCCCCCGGCUCAACUGGGGAGGGUCAUUCGAUACUGAUCGACUCGAAGGCAGGAGAGGGUAGUGGAAUUCCCGGUGUAGUGGUGAAAUGCGUAGAUAUCGGGAGGAACACCAGUGGCGAAGGCGACUACCUGGCCUGUUCUUGACGCUGAGGCGCGAAAGCUAGGGGAGCAAACGGG
rnacentral:rRNA from 1 species